UACGGGGGGGGCAAGCGUUGUUCGGAAUUACUGGGCGUAAAGGGCUCGUAGGUGGCCAACUAAGUCAGACGUGAAAUCCCUCGGCUUAACCGGGGAACUGCGUCUGAUACUGGAUGGCUUGAGAUUGGGAGAGGGACGCGGAAUUCCAGGUGUAGCGGUGAAAUGCGUAGAUAUCGGGAGGAACACCAGUGGCGAAGGCGACUACCUGGCCUGUUCUUGACGCUGAGGAGCGAAAGCGUGGGGAGCGAACAGG
rnacentral:rRNA from 1 species